CCUACGGGUGGCUGCAGUAGGGAAUUUUGCGCAAUGGGCGAAAGCCUGACGCAGUAACGCCGCGUGAUCGAGACGCCCUCCGGGGUGUAAAGAUCUGUCAGUGGGGACGAAACUUGACGGUACCUACAGAGGAAGCACCGGCUAACUCCGAGCCAGCAGCGGCGGUAAUACGGGGGGUGCAAGCGUUGUCCGGAAUCAUCGGGCGUAAAGAGGGCGUAGGCGGCACGUAAAGACUGGUGUGAAAGGCAGAGGCUCAACUUCUGUACGGCACUGGAUACUUGCGAGCUAGAGUGCGGUCAAGGUAGAGGGAAUUCCUGGUGUAGCGGUGAAAUGCUUAGAUAUCAGGAGGAACAUCGGUGGCGUAGGCGCUUUACUGGGGCGUAAUUGACGCUGAGGAACGAAGGCCAGGGUAGCAAAUGGGAUUAGAUACCCCUGUAGUC
rnacentral:rRNA from 1 species